ensembl:lincRNA
GAGGCGAGCUUGCAGUGAGCUGAGAUGCCGCCACUGCACCCCAGCCUGGGCGAAGAGCAAGAUCCGUCUCAAAAAAAAAAAAAAAAAAAAAAAAUAGUUACGAAUCUGAAAGGGAGAAGUUGAGUUUGACUAUCAACAUCAUACAGAGCGACCUCAUUUGAUUUCAUUAUGCUGUUCCAGAAACAAGAGAUUCACACCAUUGGUUCUUCCCUUACAUCUUCACUCUAUCAACUGUAACUCUACAUGGAAUUAGGCUAUAUAUUUAUUUGAUUUUUUAUUAUUUGUCAUUUUCACCAUAUUAUAAACUACAGGAACCAGGGGGCUUCUCUCUAUAUCCAUGACUUGUAGAAAAGGGUUGAGCACAGAGGAGGUGCUUAAAAAUGCUUUUAUUGUUGAAUGAAUACGUCAAAGUUUUGUCAGUUGACUGACAUUUUAAAAUUUGAUCUAGUUAUUUGUUUACAACAGCCAAUGCUUAUUUCUUUUGAAUUUCUCAUCUACAAAGACUUCCUUUUUUUCCCUGAAUGCAGAAUAUUGGAUAGGACUUGUCACAAUGUGAGAAAAUUGCUCACAGAAACGAUCAAUGAGGCUGAGUCCUGCCUUCGAAUUCCUCCUGAAUAAACCUACAUAAUCUUCAAAGCGAAGGAAUGAAUCAUGCCUACACUGUCAGCUUCUGCUGAGCACUCUCAAGCGUUAGAUCCCAUUUUUGGAAGUGGAAAACUCAUAUGCAGGAAAGACUGGAGGUAGUUCACUUCCCUUUAAAUACAACAAAUGCCACAAGCAAAAGGAUUCUUGAGAGUAGAGUCCAGUCCUCCACCAGUCCUCCACUCCUCUUCAUUAUGCCCAAUUGUGAACAAGAGGGAAUGACCUUGUCACCUUUCCACAAGCAGAAGGAGCAGUCAAGGUUUCCAGUUUGGAUCUCCAUGCUCCAGCAUGUCGAGAUGCUCAGAGGGUGAAUGAAUGAGAAACAGAGGUGCCAGGAGGAAGAUCUGCACCCCAUAAAUACUCAUUUUUUGAGGGCUUGAUUAGAGAUGGCUAGAAGACUAAGCUCAAAAUGAAAAAGAUGGAAGAACCAGUUUCUCCUUUGCUCUAUUUUUUUUCCCCUAAGGGAAUUUUUCUUCAAUGACAAUUUGCUGUUGAAGAUGUUAAGAAAAAAAAAAGAAGGAGAGAAAGACAAAGAGGUAAAACUAAUUCUCCUUCUCUAGUUCUCUGAGACUCCAAAAUCUGUUGCCAGUGCAGCCAAGAAAAUCAUCAGCUUCUUAGGUAAAAUGAUUUCUCAGAGCCACUUUGGCCCUCACACUUGCUUUUGGACUCUACUUGUCUCUUGAACCUUUGCCAUUGACAAAAUCUUAAGCUCAGGACAGAACAAGGCGCCCAUUGGACUAAGAACGAAACUCUGCCAAAAGGGAGACAUUAGGCGUAGGACACAUGGGGCCACUAUUUUCUUCACACUUGAUGUUUAAUAGGCCACGUGAUAUUGGUCUGAACUGCGAUGGAAAAGAAGGUCUAGUUCAACAUGAUAAGGUUCUGAAAACAUUGCUCUGACAAAUGGUGAAAAUUAAGUUUGACACGCGGAAGAAUACUGAAGAAUCAGACCUGGACAAAUAAAAAACAGUAGAAGCUGCCCCUGCACCUGAUAGUUAUGUGAGACUUUCUCAUCAGCCACCAAGAGGUUUAUGGAGCAGCAAACUUUUCCUGGUGGUGGGGGCGGCAGACUGGAGGGCACCGUGUAAAGGUUUAUGGGAGUCAUAGAGAAAAAUGGUGUUGGAAUUUUUUCUUUCUCCCUUUCUCCCCUCCAUUGCCCCUUUUUGUUUAGCUUAGCUAGUUCUGAAGUCUGCCAUAGAAAAGGCCUUGAUUAUCAAAUGUAAUAUUCACAUAAGAUUUUGCUGUUCAGCCUCGCAUUGGGGAAUAUACAGGGCUUCAGUGUUCCUUAAUAAAUUACCUCUUCGUGUAGCAAUUAACCCCCUUCUGUGAAGGUUCAGUGUUUCCUUGGUCCCGUGCCAGUGCUAACAGCUAUGGCUUAGCAUUCUUUUUAAUGGGCUGCAUUUACUGCUGAGAGUGGGGAAACAUAAAAUAUUAACACUUAAGCAUCUUUUACACUUCUUUGAACGUGAGAUUACGUUGAAAAUAUAACUGACUUUUCAUUCUUAAACCUGAUAUUUGCUUAGAAUUCCACUGGACCCAUGAAAAUGUUUCGGUAAGUGGUUUCUGUUGAUUUAUUAACUCCCAUGAAAGCCUCAUGGAAAUCCCUUGCCACCAAAUAUUUAAUAUGUUUUAUGCAUGCUUACAAAAGUCUUGUUUACCAAUUCUGGCUUUCCCACAUUUUUAAGAUAAUAAAUGAUUUGGAGCGCAGCAUGAUGUACUCCUGUUUUUCUCCUUCCAAAUCGUCUGUUGGGGAAAAGAGGACUCGAACUGAUUGAUAGGUACAGGUAAAGUUGACUUGGUCUCUCCAUUACAAAUCUAUUUGUUGUUAUCUUCACUCAAGUGUGCGUGUGUGUUUUUUUUUUUUUUUGUAUUACCUUUUCUGUAUUACCUUUUGAUGUGAAGAUUUAAUGAGAUGAAUAAUGUGGAAAUGUUUGUAAUCUGUAUAUUAUUUACUCUUCAUUCUUUAUAUAGUAAAUACAUAUAUGUGUGUGCGUGUGUGUGUGUGUAUAUAUAUAUAUAUGGACAUACAAUACAGUUGGCUAUCCACAUCCAUGAAUUCAACAACUGUAGAUUAAAAAAAAAUUUGGAAAAGAUAAUAAUACAACAAUAAAAAGUAAUACAAAUAAAAAUAUAGUUUAACUAUUUACAUAGAAUUAACAUUGCAUUAGGUAUUGUAAGAAUUCUAGAGAUGAUUUAAAGUAUAUGGCAAGAUGUGUGUAUGUUACACACAAGUAGUAUGCCAUUUUAUAUAAGGGACUUGAACAUCUGUGGAUUUUGGUAUUCAUAGGGAUCCUGGAACCAAUCCCAGGUGGAUUCUGAGGGAUGACUGUACAUAUGUGUAUAUAUAUACUACAUAUACAAUAUACAUGGUAUAUAUGUCUACAUAAACACUACAUAUAUAAACACUGUAUGUGUAUAUAUAUAUAGUAUAUGGACACAGUAUUUAUGCACACACAUAUAAUAUACACACUACAUAUACUAUACAGAGAACAACAAUUAAGUAACAUACAUAUAAAUGUCUAUGUCUGUGUAUGUACACAUAUGCAAACACACGUAUCUAUUUAUUUUAGCGUCUGCUUCGCAAAACUAGAGUAAUAGAGGUGAAACUAAUUUCAAGAGUUUAUAUGCAUCCGUCUUAUUGUUUCAGAUGGUUAAAAAUCUUAAUUCACGGAGAUUGAUCUAUUUUCUUCUUUGUUAUAUCGAGAGAAAGCUAUUACAUAGAAAUAAACAAUAACCAC